AGUUCUGUGGUAAAUGUAGUUUUUGGACCUUCCUGUUGUGGGCAGAUCUCUUUAAUGUGAAGAUGGACGCUCUUAUUGUUGACUGGAUUGACAGCUGUACAGCUGUAUGUCUCUGGAUCAUUAUAAUGAAGCUCUAAUGAUAAACUGAGGUUGAUGCUGAGAUCAGGAUUGCUGGACUGGUUCAGGAUUUCUCCUCCUUUAUACCACGAGAUAGACAAAUCUCGAUCAUUUUUCACCGAGCAGAACACAGAACAGGUCUCCUCCAUCUUCUGUGACUGCUUGAAUGAACCUGAAAGAGAUUUGUUUUUUCAGAAAACCUUUUUAUUUUCUGUAAAUAAAAUAAAAAUAAUAUUUCAAAAGUUGGAAGCUGUAGGUGUCACGUUUCUGAUUUGUUACAUCAUGGACUAAGUUGUGUUUUCAUGGACUUGUCAUUGGUUUUCUUCAGUCACAUGUCUUUUUUGUUCAGUUUUCCCGCCACUCUUUAGUUGUCAUUGCAAUUUAUUUAAUUUACUCAGGUGUUCAUCGUUAUGGCCCUUAUUUGUCUUGCAGUCAAGUUGCUGCUGUGUGAUCUUUCAUUUGUCUGGUACUGUCUGUGUAUUACACAGCUGUCUCACA